rnacentral:rRNA from 1 species
GAUGAACGCUGGCGGCGUGCCUAAUACAUGCCAGUCGAGCGAACAGACGAGGAGCUUGCUCCUCUGACGUUAGCGGCGGACGGGUGAGUAACACGUGGAUAACCUACCUAUAAGACUGGGAUAACUUCGGGAAACCGGAGCUAAUACCGGAUAAUAUAUUGAACCGCAUGGUUCAAUAGUGAAAGACGGUUUUGCUGUCACUUAUAGAUGGAUCCGCGCCGCAUUAGCUAGUUGGUAAGGUAACGGCUUACCAAGGCAACGAUGCAUAGCCGACCUGAGAGGGUGAUCGGCCACACUGGAACUGAGACACGGUCCAGACUCCUACGGGAGGCAGCAGUAGGGAAUCUUCCGCAAUGGGCGAAAGCUUGACGGAGCAACGCCGCGUGAGUGAUGAAGGUCUUCGGAUCGUAAAACUCUGUUAUUAGGGAAGAACAAAUGUGUAAGUAACUAUGCACGUCUUGACGGUACCUAAUCAGAAAGCCACGGCUAACUACGUG